rnacentral:rRNA from 1 species
UACAGAGGGUGCGAGCGUUAAUCGGAAUUACUGGGCGUAAAGCGUACGUAGGUGGCUUGGCAAGUCGGGUGUGAAAUCCCCGGGCUCAACCUGGGAACUGCAUUCGAGACUGCCUUGCUAGAGUAUGGGAGAGGGAAGUGGAAUUUCCGGUGUAGCGGUGAAAUGCGUAGAUAUCGGAAGGAACAUCAGUGGCGAAGGCGACUUCCUGGACCAAUACUGACACUCAGGUGCGAAAGCGUGGGGAGCAAACAGG